GCGGGUGUAGCUCAAUGGUAGAGCAGCAGCUUCCCAAGCUGGAGAAGCGGGUUCGAUCCCCGUCACCCGCUCCA
rnacentral:tRNA from 3 species